UACGGGGGGGGGCAAGCGUUGUUCGGAAUUACUGGGCGUAAAGGGCUCGUAGGUGGCCAACUAAGUCAGACGUGAAAUCCCUCGGCUUAACCGGGGAACUGCGUCUGAUACUGGAUGGCUGGAGUAUGGGAGAGGGAUGCGGAAUUCCAGGUGUAGCGGUGAAAUGCGCAGAUAUCAGGAGGAACACCGGUGGCGAAGGCGGAUCUCUGGGCCGAUACUGACGCUGGAGGAGCGAAAGCGUGGGGAGCGAACAGG
rnacentral:rRNA from 1 species